UCUUAUUUCCCGAUUUUUCUCCUCCUUCCCGAUUCCUUCUGCCCGAGACACCCUUCCCUCUCCCGGCGAUUUCUCUGCCCGAUCACCGACGCCAAGCCUCCUUCCUCCCUCUCCCUCUCAAGGUGUGGAGCCUCUUCCCACUUGCUCCGACUCCUUUCCCCUCUUUCGCCCGAUUGAUGCCGACUAUCUCAAAUUCUCGGCGCGGACCACUCGAGCACUGAUCUGGCGGUCGUCUUUCCAGACCUAGCCGGGGAUACCAGGAACUCGCCGAAAAUCGAGUGCAUGAGCAGGCACUGUUGCCCCUUUGAUGGUGCCAAUUCCAGCCAUCAGCGUUCCUUCUCUGCCCCAGCUCACUGCCAUUGUAGCAUCUUGAUUUCCUCUGAGAGGGAACAGGGAUAUUGUCUAGGGCCGGCAGUAGCUUCGCUGUAGCAAGUUUCUCCGGCUGUGGGUUGACAAUAGUGCCAUCAGAUUUGAAUAAGUCAUAGAGGAGGAGUUGGAUCAAUAUUGUGGAUCUUCCCUUGUGCCGAUCACUGCCCUUCUUCAAUUCUUUUGGCUAAGGCCUUUGGUAGCUCUCGGUUGAAGAGGAGUUCUUGGUGGCUGUGGACAGAGGUUAGUAGGGGCUAUGAGCUCUUGAUUUGUAGCCAUAUCUUAAGAGUUACCUAUACUCACCACCGCAUGUAUACCUUUAUAUUUUCAUGUAGAAGGUUGGGGUGUCGCUUGGAGUAUCCUGUCUGCCGGGUCCUACGUCACAUCCGAAGACUUAUCCUUUAAUUAUUUUUGGCAUUGUAUUUGUGUUUAGCCAUGUGGCUAUCUUGUGGUUUUAUUGUUGUAUUUAUAUUUGUGGUUGUUGUAUGAAGCCUAGCCGGCUAGCAGUGUGUUGAUGUGUUUUGUAUGGGUUUUCCGUUAUCAUUUUUCCGCUUUGUUUUUAGUACGGCCGUGUGGGCUUUUUAUAUAUAA